rnacentral:snoRNA from 1 species
CUAACAUGGAUACCCCGGGAGGUCACUCUUCCCAGGCUCUGUCCAGGUGGCAUAGGGGAGCAUAGGGCUCUGCCCCACAAUGUUGGAGAAGAGGCUGGGCCUUGUAUCUGCGCCUGUAUAUUC